AUUGAACGCUGGCGGCAUGCUUUACACAUGCAAGUCGAGCGGUAACAGGCCUUCGGGUGCUGACGAGUGGCGAACGGGUGAGUAAUGCAUCGGAACGUACCCAGAGGUGGGGGAUAACGCAGCGAAAGCUGUGCUAAUACCGCAUGUGAUCUGAGGAUGAAAGCGGGGGACCGAGCAGCAAUGUUUGGCCUCGCGCCUUUGGAGCGGCCGAUGUCGGAUUAGCUAGUUGGUGGGGUAAAGGCCUACCAAGGCGACGAUCCGUAGCUGGUCUGAGAGGACGACCAGCCACACUGGAACUGAGACACGGCCCAGACUCCUACGGGAGGCAGCAGUGGGGAAUGUUGGACAAUGGGCGCAAGCCUGAUCCAGCAAUGCCCCGUGCGGGAAGAAGGCCUUCGGGUUGUAAACCGCUUUUGGCAGGAACGAAACGGUGUCCGCUAAUACCGGGCGCUAAUGACGGUACCUGCAGAAUAAGCACCGGCUAACUACGUG
rnacentral:rRNA from 1 species